CAAUAUUUAUUUAUUUAAACAUUUGAUUUUGUUGCGUAUUUUUUAGUAACUCAUAGUCAGUCUUGGUGGUGGAUUUGGCAUCUAGUCAGCAUCUACCAUCAGAGUAUGUCACGUUUCGAGUCCAUAGGGGUGAUUCGGAACGAGUCGUGUUUUAUUUUUAAUAUGAUGUGGUGAUUUUAAGUAUGUGGGCUGAAAAAUAUAUGUAAACCCUAAUUAGAGUUUAAGUCGUAAUGGGACAGUUUGAUAAUUUC
rnacentral:lncRNA from 1 species